rnacentral:lncRNA from 1 species
CAAGCAGAAGAGAGCCUACAAGUUUCAAGAUGGUGCCAAGGUUCAAGCAAAGGUCUUCAGUUGUGGAGGCGAUUAUCUUGAGGUCUUCAAGAGUGCACAGAUGCUAAAGAAGAUUGGUAUCGACGAUGGAGGUUUGCAUAGGGAGCUAUCAAGGUGCGCAAUAGCAGUAGGGAGAGCCAGGGGUGUCUCAGAAAGGCUGAAGAGCAGGUCUUAGGGAGAGCCAGGGGUAUCUCAGGG